UGGGGGAUAUUGCACAAUGGGCGAAAGCCUGAUGCAGCGACGCCGCGUGGGGGAUGAAGGCCUUCGGGUUGUAAACUUCUUUUGCUCUGAACAAGGCGCACCAUGGGGUGUGUUGAGUGUAGGGGUUGAUUAGCGCCGGCUAACUACGUGCCAGCAGCCGCGGUAAUACGUAGGGCGCGAGCGUUGUCCGGAAUUAUUGGGCGUAAAGGGCUUGUAGGUGGCUGGUUGCGUCUGUCGUGAAAGCUCAUGGCUUAACUGUGGGUUUGCGGUGGGUACGGGCUGGCUUGAGUGCAGUAGGGGAAGCUGGAAUUCCUGGUGUAGCGGUGGAAUGCGCAGAUAUCAGGAAGAAGAACGGUGGCGAAGGCGGGUCUCUGUGCUGUUACUGACACUGAGGAGCGAAAGCAUGGGGAGCGAACAGG
rnacentral:rRNA from 1 species